rnacentral:rRNA from 1 species
AUUGAACGCUGGCGGCAUGCCUUACACAUGCAAGUCGAACGGUAACAGGUCUUCGGAUGCUGACGAGUGGCGAACGGGUGAGUAAUACAUCGGAACGUGCCCGAUCGUGGGGGAUAACGGAGCGAAAGCUUUGCUAAUACCGCAUACGAUCUACGGAUGAAAGCAGGGGACCGCAAGGCCUUGCGCGGACGGAGCGGCCGAUGGCAGAUUAGGUAGUUGGUGGGAUAAAAGCUUACCAAGCCGACGAUCUGUAGCUGGUCUGAGAGGACGACCAGCCACACUGGGACUGAGACACGGCCCAGACUCCUACGGGAGGCAGCAGUGGGGAAUUUUGGACAAUGGGCGAAAGCCUGAUCCAGCCAUGCCGCGUGCAGGAUGAAGGCCUUCGGGUUGUAAACUGCUUUUGUACGGAACGAAAGACUCCUUCUAAUAAAGGGGUCCAUGACGGUACCGUAAGAAUAAGCACCGGCUAACUACGUG